rnacentral:rRNA from 1 species
UACGUAGGGUGCGAGCGUUGUCCGGAAUUACUGGGCGUAAAGAGCUCGUAGGUGGUUUGUCGCGUCGUCUGUGAAAUUCCGGGGCUUAACUUCGGGCGCGCAGGCGAUACGGGCAUAACUUGAGUGCUGUAGGGGAGACUGGAUUUCCUGGUGUAGCGGUGGAAUGCGCAGAUAUCAGGAGGAACACCGAUGGCGAAGGCAGGUCUCUGGGCAGUAACUGACGCUGAGGAGCGAAAGCAUGGGGAGCGAA